CGAUACUGCAGGUUGAGAGUUAUCACACCCAAUACUCUAAAUGGAUUUUUCCGUAUUGCCUUGGGUAAAAGAAAAACCACAGGAAAGCCGUAAACAUAGAGCUGUGAAACGAAGAAUGUCAAGGGAGAAAUAAAGUUGAAAUUAAAAUAAGAGGAAUAGUAGAGCGGCAUUCACCCAAACCGCUAUUGUUGUUAAUAAUAUCAACGUUUAAACACCCAUCAUGAGUCACUGAAAUUAAAAAUAAACUUCCAAGAAGCUCAGUGAAUUUUCAAACAGCCACGAGGUGGCAGUUGCAUCUCGGUUGGACGGUGUGAGGCGGGAGAGGUUUUCAUUCAUAAGAAAAUAUACUCGUCCAUGAAUGUUGCACAUAUGUGCAUAAUGCGUACAAUACGUGCACGUGUAUGUGGGGAAAAAUUGGUCACAACUCACCAGAGACGGGAAGAUAAAUGUGAGAAUAAAUGAGAAUAGAUGGCAGUUGAUGAGUGUUGGUGAGAUACAGAGGAAAACGGAGAAUUUGUUCUUUCAAAAUGUUUAUAAUCCGAUAAGCGAUAUCGGAUCCCUUACAAUUCCACCUCGUUGUCACAGAUAAUCUUUCGUUACAUUCAAUAGGUGGCCAAUAAGCGCAAAAGGAUUCAGUGUUUGGCUUUUCGUUACUUGGCAUUAAUGAGUUUGAGAAUAAUUUUAUUGAGUGGAAAUAUCAUUGAAAGAGUGCUGUUAAUGGAAUAAAAAGGUUAUUGGUGUCGUUCACCCAAAGGUCGCUGUGUAACGCGCGGAUGUGACCCGUUUGAGGAUAAGCAACAUUCUUGCAACUCACCACGAGCCCGUUGUACAUACAAGCCAACUAGUCUCUAACUUGCUUCGAGAAAAAUCGAAUGAAAACAAGAAAAAAAAAAAGGAGAGAGUAAUGGCGAAUAUGUGGAGGACGAAAGAAUAAAGUGUAUGAAGAUAUUGCUGACUCUUCGGCUAUGCAACAUUGUAUUUAUAAAAUUGUUAGUUAAUGUGCAGUUGUGAGUAAUCAUUGGGAUCUGUGAUUUGUUAUUGCUUUACUCAAGUGAGUAGUAUGAAAAUUGAGGGCAUUUGAUGAAGGCCGAGGGUCGUAGAGACGGGAGGCACUUCCGGAUGAUGAAGGAUGUGGUUUCAUAGCGUUAUGAAAUAAAAGGAGAAUAGAACCGGGCACAACUCGUUUGGCAGUGGAGUUGAAUCGUAAACUCAGAAGAGACCUUCUCUGUAGUUAUACUUCUUGUUGUUUAUGAAUAAUGUAUUUUUGAGGAAUUAUCUGUCACGUGCUUGUGAAUAAUUUCACUUCAGUAAGAAUGAUUCGAACGGUUCGCAUUGAGGGUGAUGAUAAAAUUCAAUGUCCGUAGUCGUUCAAUAUUCCAUUUAGCUGAACAAUUUAUUCCGAAUCAAUGGAGAAUUUUCAAUAAAUUCUGGUGAUUUUAGAAGCAAUUUUUCUAUUCAAUGGAAAUCAUACAAUGAUGCUUUCGAUCAGAAGUCAAUCGUAACAACACUCAAUGUCAGUGUCAGAGGCGCUCAACAAUUAGAAGAGGGAAAAAUAAGUCGGAACGGACGCUAUCAAUUUUUUUUUCUGAAGAUUAAAUUGCGAAAGGAAAGAGUGCACUCAGAAUGAUGCUCCUCAUGCGAUAACACCGUGGUUUUCGUUCACCGUAUGUCGAUAUUCGUUUGGCGUAUCUCGAAUUGGUUGAGAGGUACUCUCCCUUCAUGUCCCCCAUACACAAGCGCAUAAAGGGAUGGAAAUAAAGAGUUCGCAUUUU